rfam:TPA: Bos taurus chromosome 28, whole genome shotgun sequence.
UCCCUGGUGGCUCAGAUGCUAAAGCAUCUGCCUUCAGUGCAGGAGACCCAGGUUCAAUCCCUGGGUUGGGAA